rnacentral:rRNA from 1 species
CCCUUAGAUGUUCUGGGCCGCACGCGCGCUACACUGAUGUAUUCAACGAGUCUAAAACCUGCUCUGAUAGGGGUGGGUAAUCUUUUGAAUGUGCAUCGUGAUUGGGAUAGAUGAUUGCAAUUUUUCAUCUUCAACGAGGAAUGCCUAGUAAACGCAAGUCAUCAGCUUGCAUUGAUUACGUCCCUGCCCUUUGUACACACCGCCCGUCGCUCCUACCGAUUGAAUGAUCCGAUGAAUAUCAUGGAUUGAGGAUGCAAGUAGGUUCGCCUAUCUUCAUCUUCGAGAAGUGAAGUAAAUCUUAUCAUUUAGAGGAAGGAGAAGUCGUAACA